rnacentral:rRNA from 1 species
ACGGCCCUUACAUCCGGGGCGACACACGUGUUACAAUGGUAGGGACAAAGGGCAGCUACCUGGCGACAGGAUGCGAAUCUCCAAACCCUAUCUCAGUUCGGAUCGGAGUCUGCAACUCGACUCCGUGAAGCUGGAUUCGCUAGUAAUCGCGCAUCAGCCAUGGCGCGGUGAAUACGUUCCCGGGCCUUGUACACACCGCCCGUCAAGCCAUGGAAGUCGGGGGUACCUGAAGUGCGUCA